rnacentral:rRNA from 1 species
GACAGCAGUCGCCGCUGUAAUACGUGGGUGGCAAGCGUUGUCCGGAACUAUUGGGCGUAAAGGGCUCGCAGGCGGUUUCUUAAGUCUGAUGUGAAAGCCCCCGGCUCAACCGGGGAGGGUCAUUGGAAACUGGGAAACUUGAGUGCAGAAGAGGAGAGUGGAAUUCCACGUGUAGCGGUGAAAUGCGUAGAGAUGUGAGGAACACCAGUGGCGAAGGCGACUCUCUGGUCUGUAACUGACGCUGAGGAGCGAAAGCGUGGGGAGCGAACAGGAUUAGAUACCCCCGUAGUCCCUGUCUCUUAUACA